GAUGAACGCUGGCGGCGUGCCUAAUACAUGCAAGUCGAGCGAACGGACGAGAAGCUUGCUUCUCUGAUGUUAGCGGCGGACGGGUGAGUAACACGUGGAUAACCUACCUAUAAGACUGGGAUAACUUCGGGAAACCGGAGCUAAUACCGGAUAAUAUUUUGAACCGCAUGGUUCAAAAGUGAAAGACGGUCUUGCUGUCACUUAUAGAUGGAUCCGCGCUGCAUUAGCUAGUUGGUAAGGUAACGGCUUACCAAGGCAACGAUGCAUAGCCGACCUGAGAGGGUGUCCGGCAACCCGGGACCGGAGACCGGGCCCGACCCCCUAGGGAAGCCAGCAGUGGGAAACCUUCCGCAAUGGGGGAAAGCCUGACGGAGCAAGGCGCCGUGAGUGAUGAAGGUCUCCGAUUCUAAAAACUCUGUUAUUGGGAAGAAAAAUAGGUGAAGGUACUGUGCACAUCUUGACGGUACCUAAUCAGAAAGCCACGGCUAACUACGUG
rnacentral:rRNA from 1 species